rnacentral:rRNA from 1 species
UACGUAGGGCGCAAGCGUUGUCCGGAAUUAUUGGGCGUAAAGAGCUCGUAGGUGGUUUUGUCGCGUCUGUCGUGAAAAGCCCCAUGGCUUAACUGUGGGUCUGCGGUGGAUACGGGCAGGCUAGAGGCAGGUAGGGGGAGAACGGAAUUCCCGGUGUAGCGGUGAAAUGCGCAGAUAUCGGGAGGAACACCGGUGGCGAAGGCGGUUC